rnacentral:rRNA from 1 species
GACGAACGCUGGCGGCGUGCUUAACACAUGCAAGUCGAACGGAAAGGCCCUGCUUUUGUGGGGUGCUCGAGUGGCGAACGGGUGAGUAACACGUGAGUAACCUGCCCUUGACUUUGGGAUAACUUCAGGAAACUGGGGCUAAUACCGGAUAGGAGCUCCUGCUGCAUGGUGGGGGUUGGAAAGUUUCGGCGGUUGGGGAUGGACUCGCGGCUUAUCAGCUUGUUGGUGGGGUAGUGGCUUACCAAGGCUUUGACGGGUAGCCGGCCUGAGAGGGUGACCGGCCACCAUGGGCCUGAGAUACGGCCCAGACUCCUACGGGAGGCAGCAGUGGGGAAUAUUGCACAAUGGGCGGAAGCCUGAUGCAGCAACGCCGCGUGCGGGAUGACGGCCUUCGGGUUGUAAACCGCUUUCGCCUGUGACGAAGCGUGAGUGACGGUAAUGGGUAAAGAAGCACCGGCUAACUACGUG